GACGAACGCUGGCGGCGUGCUUAACACAUGCAAGUCGAACGGAAAGGCCCUGCUGUUGUGGGGUGCUCGAGUGGCGAACGGGUGAGUAACACGUGAGUAACCUGCCCUUGACUUUGGGAUAACUUCAGGAAACUGGGGCUAAUACCGGAUAGGAGCUCCUGCUGCAUGGUGGGGGUGGGAAAGUUUCGGCGGUUGGGGAUGGACUCGCGGCUUAUCAGCUUGUUGGUGGGGUAGUGGCUUACCAAGGCUUUGACGGGUAGCCGGCCUGAGAGGGUGACCGGCCACAUUGGGACUGAGAUACGGCCCAGACUCCUACGGGAGGCAGCAGUGGGGAAUAGUGCACGAUGGGCGGAAGCCUGAUGCAGCAACGCCGCGUGCGGGAUGACGGCCUUCGGGUUGCAAACCGCUUUCGCCUGUGACGAAGCGUGAGUGACGGUAAUGGGUAAAGAAGCACCGGCUAACUACGUG
rnacentral:rRNA from 1 species